rnacentral:rRNA from 1 species
CAGCCGCCGCGGUAAUACGUAGGGGGCGAGCGUUACCCGGAUUCACUGGGCGUAAAGCGGGUGUAGGCGGCUCGGUAAGUCGGGUGUGAAAUCCCACAGCUCAACUGUGGAAUUGCGCCCGAAACUGCUGAGCUUGGGGCCGGUAGAGGGAGACGGAACUGCCGGUGUAGGGGUGAAAUCCGUAGAUAUCGGCAGGAACGCCGGUGGGGAAGCCGGUCUCCUGGGCCGCGCCCGACGCUGAGACCCGAAAGCUAGGGGAGAAAACCGGAUUAGAUACCCGGGUAGUCCUAGCCGUAAACGAUGCCCACUAGGUGUGGGGGAUUAAUUCCUCCGUGCUGUAGCUAACGCGUUAAGUGGGCCGCCUGGGGAGUACGCCCGCAAGGGUGAAACUUAAAGGAAUUGGCGGG